UCAGAUUCAGAUUCAUUCUGUAAACGCGAUUCCUCGAGGACGUAACGUGAAACGUCGGCCGAUCAGCCCGGUUUUUGAGCAGCUAUUCAACGGUUACGCGCCCACCACCCACUCACCACUAACACCGAAGAAUCAGCAACGCCCCCCACUUCGCCCGCGCUUGUGCAUCUCAAAGAUACAAAAGUAAUUCAAAAGAUAAAUAAGCGGGGAAUUAUCCGAAAAAUUAAAAGUAAAUUCCACAAAUACGAAUCGUGUGUGCGAGUAGUGGCAAGCUGAUUGGAUUUACUGGUGUGCCUGCGUAAAUUCUUUAACUAAAAUUGAUUGUUUAUUUCCGCUGCAGCAGCAGUAGCAGCAGCACGAGCAAAAAGAUAACAAACACAAGCAACUAAUGAAAUUUGGGCCAGUUGCCAAUUGAAAAUGUGAUUUCCUUAUCAACAACGGAGCACACUAACGAAAGAAUACGUAUAUUAAGCCAGCAAGUAAAUAAAAUUAAUUUACGCGCGCUUCGAAAUCAAAUUCAAAAUGUCAUUCCAAGUGCACAGCGAAAAAAAAACAUCAACAGCGAAAGCGUCAUUAAGUAAAUAAAUAAAAACAACAAAGCCCAGCAAAUAUUGUUCAACAACUAACCAGUAAUUGUGUAAAUAGUAUCCAGCAUAAACAAUUUAAUUGUUUAAUUGUGUUGUGCAGCAAAGUAAAUUUAAUUAUAUGUAAUAAAUAUUCAAUGAAUACGUAGUAGGAUAAUAAUAAAGAAGUAUAAUCUGAUAAUUCCGUGCAAUCUAUUUCUAAAAUAACAACACAUCAACAACCAUCACAGCCAUAAAGUAUAUUAAUAACUCAAGAACCAAACCCGAUAAGAGCCAGAAUCAAAUUGAAUAAUAAGCAGCGUUAAAACGCAAAACUCAUAAGGUGCAUCCAAAAGAAAUAUACGAAAUCGCGAAAUCCGACCUAGACUUGCCAUAUUGCGACUGAAACCCAUAUCCCCAGCAGCUUUAAAUCGUGAUAAAAAGUAAGUUCUGGACAUUAACCCAAAUCGACGGUUGGUAAGGAGCCGAGAAUCUGAGUCCGAGUUCGAAUCUGAAUCGGAAUUGGGAUUGGAAUCGGAAUCGGGCUAACAAGACAAGUCACUUAAUGUCUGUCGCCAAUUUAUUCGCAUUUUUUGCGCCGCUCUUUGUUUUUGGGGCCAAUUAGCGAAACGAGUUUCUGGUGUAAACGUUGAGGAAAGGAAAACAUUUCCGCAAAAUAAAUAAAGUAAAGCAAAGUGCAGAGAGAGGUGAGGUGAGGUGGAGCAUGAGAGAAAAGGCCAAAACCAGCUGGCCGAAUCCGAAUCGGAGGUAUGAGUAAUUCAUGCGAGUGCGAGUAUCUCUUAGUACGCUCCAACUCACAUCGGGUUCCCCAUUCCCCAUCCCCAUCCCCAAUCUCCAGUCUCCAGAUCCACUUUAGUCUGUAGUAAUACGACGAGAUAAUGAGUGGGGCCGUAAGGAAAUUAAAUACAGUGAUUAAGUAACUUAAUGACGUGGGAUAAGCCACGGAAUGAGCAGGCUUAGGGGUUGGAACCGGCCAGAACCGGCAUUCCGGGUGUAAUCCCAAAAAGUUACUAGAUAAGUCUAGGAUUUGGAGCCCCACUUCAAUCGUUCGGAUCUGAAGUUGAUCCGCCUCUUAGCUUCAAUCUCAAGAGUCUCGUACAUAAAUAAGUCUUGGCCAAAAGUUCACUUAUUCGGCGGUCAGUGAACCUCCUACUUCGUCUUCUAUGACUUCUUCCUCAUUUGCAUUUUGUGGCAGCGAAGAACCAUUUUAAUUGUGUUUAAUUAGACUCUCGGCUAACCGAAAUAAUUAUGCAUAAUUAAAAGGCAUUUUGCAUUUUUAAGACGAAUUUAAGGCAUUAACCUCGGCGAAUAAAUUAUCCAUGUCACGUGGCAUUUAAUUUUGAAAAAUAUCAUUUGGAUUUAUUAUAUCUCCUCAUCUCGAUAAAAACCCAAUCUCUCAUAAAGCAAAACUAAAUUGAAUCGAUUCGAAACGAAUUGAAUCAAAGAGAUGAUAUCACCGCGAAUUCCCUGCAAAAUAUACCUCACUUUAUUAGGUCAUAAAUUUCAAUUAUAAAUUAUUCAUCACUAUUUAGGGAAAGUUUCUAAUUUAGCGACAGUUCAAUGAACCAAAAGUAGGCAAUAGUUUUAUUUUGGACAAAAACAAACUACUAUAUACACGAGCAAAAGAUACGAAAACGAGCAAAUAUUGCAGAGCAAUUUGGCUUUUUCUCCUCCUUUUUUUUUUGAGAAUAAAUUGUUCAAUUAUUUUGGGUGUGGCAAGUGGAUAUCUGCUGUCAUUUGCAUAGACUUGAAGUUAAUGAAAUUUUUCAAAUAUUCAUUCAGCUUAUUUGUGCGUGGGUGGCAGUGUGAUAUGCAUAUUAAAAAGUCCGUCGGAAUUAUUAUAUCUGUGUAAGUCCAAUUGGAAUGGAGGACGAAGUUUGGCUCAAAGAUUUUACAUGCUAGUAGUUUCGGGAAGGGGAUUAGACCCAUUGUUACCCCUUAAAAAUGUAUAUAAAUUAUGUUGUAUGGUUUUUGCUUCGAUAUUUAAUACUCAUAAGAGUCAUGAGAGAUCACUUUACAACACUUAAGCUGACCAACUGCCCCAUUAACCCUCUGCAUACCCCUUGUUCUUGGGCUCACCUGGCACAUAUCACUGCUCACAUACCGGCGCAUAUCAGUUUGUAUGUUAAACACUUUAAACGUGUUUUCAUUUUGACUUGUUUGCUUUGCUCUUUACCUUCUUUUUUUAAACUUCUUACUACACAAACUACACGGCAACUGCGACCCUUUUUCACUUUUUCAUUUGACUUCGUUUCGUUGUCGGCGUUGUUGUUGCUGCUGCCGUUGCUGUACAAAAUUAUAUUUAUUUUUGCAUUAAGCACGAGGUCAAUUAACCUCAUGCCGCGUCGCGAGUUCAAUAAACGCAAAGCACACACAGCGCGCCAAAUACAAGCAAAACUUUAAACUACACACUCGCGUACAGCAGAAUUUAACAUUCGCAUAAAAAAGGCAAAAAAAAAAUGCAAAAAAAAAAACAACAAAAUGGCAAAAAAAAUGAAAAAAACUGUGUUGUGACGUCGUUGUUGUCGUUGACAUUUUGCGCAUUUUACAACAGCAGCAACAACAAGAACAACGAGGCAACGCGGAUUUUUUACAACUUUUUUGCAAUUUUUUUUCUUUUUUUUUACAAUUGUAAAUUGAGUCAUUUGGUUGUAGUUGCCAGUCGUCGUUGUUUUUCACCCCUUUUUUAUUAUUCUCAUUUUUGUUAUGCACUUGACAACGACAACAUUUGAACAGCAGCAACAACUGCAGCAGCAACAACACCAACAACAUCAGCCAAAAACUCAUUCAUCAACACUUUCAAAGCGCUUUUUGCACCCAUUUGAGAUUUUGUUGUGUUUUUUGGCCUAAGGCCACUGCUUUUUGAGGGGGGUUUUGGGGGCUCGAAAGCCCCCUGGUCAUUGAUACGCCGACUCGCGUGCCGUUUUGUUCUUUUUCCUAGCAGUUCCCCGCUUUUUUUAUUUAUUUAUAUAUAUUUGCUUGGCUUUUUUUCAGGGUUCUGUCAUUUUUUUGCCCAUACAAAUUAAUUGUAGUCGUUUUUUGUGGUUUUUUGCUUAGAGUGCCGCGUUGCCACGCAAAAUAAUAAAAAACAAAAAGCGAGGCAAAAAGGUAUUUCUGAUUUGGUUGUUUAUUUUGCGCCCAGCUUGGUAACCGAUGACGUUGAAAAUCGAGGGCGGCACACAGGUGUGCAAAAUGAAUGUUGAGUGGGGUAAAAGCGAAUGUGAAUCAAUAAUCGAGGCGGGGGAAGUGCAAAAAUGCUAAGUAAAUGAAGACAAAUUGGGUGAAAUUUGUUUGAACAGUUUAUUACGGGCAAAUUUGUUGGCAGAGUGCUAUAAAAAGGAAUGAGGAAAUGCUGGGAAAGUAUGAAUAAAACUGGAACAAGUCUUUAAAUGCAGUGCAAUAAAUAUUCAACAGGAAUUGAGAGGUUUUCGAACACAGUCUUCUCGCACACACGCGAUAAACUCGGAAAUAACGUGUUAACUAAGCCAUUAAACUUAAAAAUACAUUUUACUAUUCUUUUUGGCUAAAACAUAAACAUUUUUUACGAUGCCAUUUACAAGAAUGUGAAAAUGUGUAUAGAGAACAACUUUAUGACUUGUACACGCAAUUAUCUAGCAUAAAUAAAAUAUAUUAUGUUGCUAAUUGACUAAAAUAUGCAAAUUACUCGAUUCAUUAGAAAAGCACUCAAUUUGACUUUCAAUCGAUGUGCAAAACAAUUAACUCAUUAAAUGACUAAACGCUCGCAGCUCAUCAAAAUAUAAACGCCAUUCGCCGAAGGCGCUAAAAAAUAGAUACAUAUACGCAAAAUACCCAGGCAAAUCAGAUAAAAGUGAUUCAUGGUGUCAAAUUGCUCAGCUCCUCAGUCGAGGUAUAGAGUAUAAUUUUAGCUGCCUCCAAAUGCGGCCAGUUUGGCAUUUCCGUUGGCCGAACAGAAACCAAUAAGUUAAAAGCUUCCCCAUUCAUGUGACUCACAGAUAUCACAAAAUAUACAGAUAGAUUUAUAUGCCGGCAAUUAGCCAAGUUGAUCUAAUAAGCCGAGUGGGAAAUCUGCGCGGGGAAAACAAUUGCAAAUACUUACAUUUCCACUUGGCCAAAUCGCGGCCAAGCCACAAAACUAGUUUACGUAAAAAAAAACACACAGAAAAACCAACACAAACUAGUAUUAUAAUAAUGACUUCAAUUUUCAGGCCGGCCAGGCAAAGAGAUUGUUGUAAAAAUAAUAAUAAUAACGAAAGCAGAGUAGAGCAGCGCACAAAAAAAAUGUAUUUGGCAACUCUAGCAACGAGAUUCUUUGACGUGAAUUUAUGGCAAUUGAAGACAAGUUUUUAAUUAUGUUUCUGCCGUCGUUAUUGCUGUUGCUGUCUUUGUAGUAGUGGUUGUAGUUGUUGUUGUGCCUGUUAUGGCCCGGCAUAAUAAUAAUUUAAAUAUGGCCAGGACAGCCUGAAAAUGAAGUGGCACACGGCAUUAAAUCAUCGCGUGCAGCUAAAAAGGAUAAAUAAGCGAGGAGGAAGCACAGCAACUGCUGCCUUCAAUUUACUUUUUCCAAUCGCAGGAAUCGAAUCAAUUUCUGUUGCGAUACUUAUCGCACACAAUAGCCGAUUAAAAUGGUUUAUCUGGAAAUGCAGGCGAAUACACUUGAAGAAUAUAACCAACAUUUUAGCCACAAUUUAGUACGGAUAUAGAGAAACUUCAAUUUUGUCCGGCUGUAACGAGCAGUUAUUAUUUUUUAUCCACACUUCACGAGCAUAACGAUGGCUUUUCAGUGGCCAAUUAAAUUCAUAAAAAUAUGGUUUGAAAAUACCAAUAAUAAUGCAAAUAUGCAGUUCAACGGCAGACGGGAAAUAAUUUCGCUUUAUGUUGUGGCCUGCGAAAAAUCUUCUCCUUCUGCUUGUAAUUAUGCGAGACUUGUUCUGCAUUGUGGCUGCUGUUUUUGCAGCUUUUGUUGCUGCUUCUUCGUCUACAUUGCAAUUUGUAUGCAAAUGCAAUCGGCAAUGCAGCCACACAUACACGCCAUACACACAUACGCACCACACACACUAUCGCAGCAUAAACAACGUGAUUAGCAUAACAGUCGACGAGGCCGUAAAUAUUGCAUUUUAGCAUAAUUGUUUAUACUUUGCAGCAGCUGCCAAACGAAAGCAACGCCUCUUCGCAGUUGGGCUACUUUGUAUUUAGUAAGCCAAGUAAUUAAGCCAACAGUAUUUCGGCAUAUAAAUUGUAAUAUUCCACUCGACUCAAGCACACUUAAUGAGUUUUCCAGCCAAGCACACCACUCCCAUUUGGGAUCAGGCCUUUGAUUAAGCGCAGCAUUUGCAUGAAUUUGGCAGGCAAAAUAAACCAAAGAUGCAUUUAAAUAAUUGAACAAGAUCUGCUCCUUGCAAUAUGUAAAUCAUAUUGCCUUUUCAAAUACGCUGUAAGUUGAUUAGUGUCGAGAGCAUCUAGUUCUUUGAAUGGAAUAAAACAUAGGCUUAUUUUCUCACAAUUUUCCAUUAUUUGACCAACCCGCUUUGUCGCUAUUUUAAGUGCAUUUUCCACUGCAUCAUGACAAAUUUCUCACACUAGUGUCAACUGCCGACAUCUACGAUCGCUUUCGGCACUCGGCUUUCUGCUUUCGGCUGUCGGAUGUACACAAUCUUCUCGGCGAAUCCAACAAGUAGAGUGGGGUCGACAGUUCCCAUUCCCAUUCCCAUUCCCAAAACCCAUUUUCCAUUUCCCAUUCCUGCCUCGAAGUCGAGUUUCAACGAGCUGUGCUAACUUUCUAUUGUACAAUGCGAUCCAGUCACUUGUUUUUGGCCCCAUUGCGAUAGUGUGUGUCCAUGUGUGCCAAUUGCCGCCAAUGUGUGUGUGGUGUAUCAACAAUGCCUAACUGCCUGUGACGUUGUUGGUGUUGAAUAUUCUCUGGUUAUGCACUUCGAAAAAAAAACGAUAAGCAACAAGCAGCGCCAAAAAGAAGUAUCCGCAUAAUAUGGUAAUACUUAUAUCCCACGUUGGGCGCCAGUUGUAUUAAACGCGCAAGCUCUUUAGCAUUUUUAGUACUUACACCUUACUUAUGUGUGGAUAUAGGAAUGUAAAUAUGACAAGACAUUUUUUUACGUGCACCAAUGGAUAAGUAUCGCUUCCAAUGUGUUGCUGUUGCAGUUGCAAUUUCUGUUGCAGUGUUGCUGUUGCAUGCUAUCCCCGUUUUGGGGGCUGCGCUUUGUUCGUGUUCAUUUGGCAGUUUCCGCGCUGCAAACUUUGUAAUUAACUUUUGUCACGACGAUGCCAAAGUCUUUCGAGGACUCUCGACCGAAUGUGAAAUAAAAACAAACAAAAAGCUGCAUUCUUUGAGGUGAACAUGCAUAAGUAAUUAUUUAUUUGCGAGAUGACAGCAAAUAUUUCUUAAGUAUGCAACAAUUAGCAACGCCAGCUUAAAAACCGAUUAAAGACAGCAAACAGAAAUUAAGGCCAAAAGGAGAACAAUAGAAGUUCCAUGGCGUGCCAAAAAAAGGGGAACAAAAUUAAAGUAGAAUAAUAUAAUAUAAGGGAAAUGAAAGAAAAGAGAGGAGAGCGCAAAAAAGAAUUGCCAAGGAAUUUGUUAAUGACUCGACAUGCCAAAAUUAAUGGCAUGCCUGGCAAUAAUUAAAACAAAAACAAGGCAGCACGAAGCUGACGCUGCAGAAAAAAAGAGCAGACAGAGAUGGAUGGCGGCGCGGAGAAAGAGACGGGAACAGAGCAUCCAAACAAGUUUUCUGACAAAACAAAAAAGCGGGGGCGGAGUAAAGCGAAAUGCAUUAUAUAACAAGCAUUUCCAUCCAUUUCCAAAUGACUUUUCAAAAUGUAAAGUCUGCUCGCCUUUUUUCGGGUGCGAUUUGCAAAUAUUUGAUCUAUUGAUUACCAGCCAGUAAUGUUUUAUUAACAGUGAUGGAAAAUGCUUAUGUAAAUGUACCUAGUUUUAUUAGGUACCCUGAAUUUCUAUCGAUUUUAUUUAACAAGCCCGUACCUAAAAUGAAUAUUUAUUACGUGCAACAUGUAGCUUACCUAUUCGAGUUUGGUGGUACACAUUUACCUUGUACCUUGCAUAGUCGAAAGUAAACAGUACCUUUCAAUCACUGAUUAUAAACAGCCCGACCACUGAAAGCUGCAGUAAAUGUAUACUUCCACCGCCGUUUUUCAAUUUAAUUUAUCGCAAAUAUGCAAUCGAAAUGAUGAUGUGAGUGGAAGGGCAUGCAAUCAAUGAUGGCUUGAUGAAAAGCCCUUCGGGUUGACCAACAGGAACUUUAAUAAUUCAGCAGGCGUAAAUUGAAUUAGUCGGCCAUUUCUUGGGGCAAAUGUCAUGUCAGUGGAUUAUUUCGAUUUUAGUUAAGCUGCCGCAGAAGCGAGCUGCUUAAGAAUGCAACUGUCCGUGCUAUGGACGAACAAUUGCAGCCUAAUUGAAAGCUAAAUUGAAUAAAACACACCCACACACACACACACUCAAUCGCCGAGAACAAGCCCUCGACACACAGACACAUGCUAACAAGGCAGGAGAGAAAAGAGGGAAAAAGUGUAGCCUGCUCAACGGCGCACACUCGACACGUACAAUUACAGUACGGCACACACACAUAUGCAAUCGCAAUUACUUGUGCGACGGUGUGUGUGAGUGUGAGAGGAGAUAGCCAGACAGUUCGCAAGAAUCUCAAGAGCCUGCAACUGUGGAGCACUGAGAGAAAUAACUUUCGCUGCAUACUUUUGCACACCUUCAUAAAUGCGAUUGGGCCCCUAGUGAUUUCAGUGCACCUGAGGAAAAUGGCAAUUUCUAACAACUAGUGAGCAUUUGAAAGCAAUCUUUCUUUCAAUGCAAACAAAUGGGGUUUUUCUCUGCCUGUACCUGCAUAGCCAUGCCAAAAGCUGCAGGAUAAUGGAAUGGAAAAGAGAACGGCGGACAGGAGAAGAAACAUUCUGUGCACACAAAAGGGGGCCAAGGAGCGGGUGGGAGUGGGCGGGAAAAUUGUGGAAAAUGCAAAAUUAGCAUGAAUACGAAAUACAAGUUAAAUAUUUGAGCAGCCCAAAGGUGUUUCAAGCGCCAGAGAGACGAAACGAGCAUAAGAAUGGAGCAUUAGGAGCGGGGAGAACCGAAAAACCAGGGCCAGGAAAAUGGAAAAUGGAAAAUGCAGGCGAGCACGAGAUGCCUGGAUGCAAUCAUAGAAAUUGCAUUUGCCGUUAGAGCAAAUGGUGCUUGCGAGUCCGAAAUGAAGUAUUCUGCAGCAUAAGCAGAAUGGGCCUGAUAAAGAUUUGCUUUAAUUGCUAGCCAUUAUUCCAAAAUGGGAUAUGUGUGUCCGGGGUCCUGAACUCCAAACUGUAAACAUUUAAUCAGUUUUCGAGCUUUUAGAAAGUAACAGAAAAAUGUUGGGAAAUUCUCUUCUAAACAGUUCAAAUUGGGUUUUCUGUAGCUAAAUCUUUUUCAUUACCUUCAUUCUUCUGUGGCCCCAUCAAAGAAAACACAAUUUCUUUACAUUCUAAAUAUCCAUUUAUUUUUUCUUGUAGCUAAACAACUUUUGUUGUUACAUUUUUUCCAUUUCCCGAUACUUCUCGACACAACACUAGAUAAAUAGACUGCUGAUAAAAUUUGUAAUAAAUAGGAACGCACACCAGCACUAGCGAUAACUAAUAGUUGAUUUAUUUACAAUUUACCCGGUGCAUUUUCUUUAUUUUCGCUGUCCUUUACCUUUUUCCUUCGCUGCUUGUUGAUUUGCUUUCCCAUUCCGCCGCCUCCUCCUCCCUGCGCCUUAUCAGCAGACUUUGACUUUGGGGACAUGUAAAUAAUUUAUAUUGUAUACUCUGUUAUGUGUGUAAUUUAUGACAGCCGCGCUGGCACACUAUAAAAAACGAAGAGCGGAGAGGUGUUAUAUGGCCCUUAUCAGCGUGAAAGUGGGACGGGUGUGCUAGUAACUUGGCUAGUGGCUUAGCAACAAUAUCAGCAUGGGUUUAUAACUAAAUUAGCAUGGAUGUGUAUGUUUAAUGCAAGACCAAAUUGGUAUUAUAAAAUCAAAUAAUUCGGGUUAUUAUAGUAUUAAGUAUUAUCGAAUUAAACAUCAAAAGGAGAAGCCUAAUUCCAAUACUAAAUUAAUAUUACAUUUUUAAUUUUUUUGAUUUAAUGAGUGAACUUAAAAGUCGCAUGUAGGGUAUUUAGCGACUGACUUGCCAGUGAUUUUACCUUUACUUAACCUUAUUGCGCUGCGUUUCGUUUGCUGCUUAUCAAGGCGAUGUAACGCACACAAGCAUAAAAACACACAUUAAAAAACAGACACACACUCACGCACGGAGAGAUAAACGCACACAUAGCCGCACUAAUUGCUGUUUACUCAGCGCGCAAUUUUCUUUCCGACACUCAGAGAAAAAGUGGAGGCAUAACUCGGAACGCCGAGGGCCAAUGCCCGCAGUGCUUGUUGUUGUUGUGGCUGUGUCAACUGCAACUCACUAAUCUCGCACUAUCUCACACACACAGAUACUCACUCACACACGCGCACGGCGUGUAUCUGCGCGGUGCCAUCUUUCUUUGGCGUUUUAUUUAUUUUACCAAGAAACAAAUAGUUGCCGCAAUGCAAACGGACGAUCAUAAAAAUUUAAUUAGCUUUUAUGAACUGGGCAAAUAGUGUAGGAAAUGCAUUAAACGCAGCGCAGAAAAACUAGAAAAACAUUUACCCAAGAUUCCCCCGGCUCUGAAAGAUCUAUUUACCUUUUUUACGAUUUUUCAUUUGCGCCGUGUUUGUUUAUUUGUUUGCCGAUGUCUAAGCAAAUGUUUUCGCCAAUGUUUGCAGAAGUUUAAUUAAUAUUUCAAUGCUAAUAUUUAAGGAGGCCCCAUGAACAGAGGGGGUUAAGAAAAAAGUUGUUAAAUUGGCAAAGAUUUAACCAUGAAAAUAAAAAUUCAGUAAUGCAUCUUUUAAGUUAAAUAUUUUAAAUGUAUUACUGCAUAAAAUUGAACUGGUCCUAAUUCUAUGCACACAUCUGUAGUGUGUGUGUUUAUUUUGGGACUGUUUG